AGCAAUGCCGCGUGCAGGAAGAAGGCCUUCGGGUUGUAAACUGCUUUUGUACGGAACGAAACGGUCCGGGUUAAUACCCUGGGCUAAUGACGGUACCGUAAGAAUAAGCACCGGCUAACUACGUGCCAGCAGCCGCGGUAAUACGUAGGGUGCAAGCGUUAAUCGGAAAUGCUGGGCGUAAAGCGUGCGCAGGCGGUUUUGUAAGACAGGCGUGAAAUCCCCGGGCUUAACCUGGGAAUGGCGCUUGUGACUGCAAAGCUGGAGUGCGGCAGAGGGGGAUGGAAUUCCGCGUGUAGCAGUGAAAUGCGUAGAUAUGCGGAGGAACACCGAUGGCGAAGGCAAUCCCCUGGGCCUGCACUGACGCUCAUGCACGAAAGCGUGGGGAGCAAACAGGAUUAGAUACCCUGGUAGUCCACGCCCUAAACGAUGUCAACUGGUUGUUGGGUCUCUUCUGACUCAGUAACGAAGCUAACGCGUGAAGUUGACCGCCUGGGGAGUACGGCCGCAAGGUUG
rnacentral:rRNA from 1 species